rnacentral:rRNA from 1 species
CAGUAGCCACGGUAAUACAGAGGGUGCGAGCGUUAAUCGGAUUUACUGGGCGUAAAGCGUGCGUAGGCGGCUUUUUAAGUCGGAUGUGAAAUCCCUGAGCUUAACUUAGGAAUUGCAUUCGAUACUGGGAAGCUAGAGUAUGGGAGAGGAUGGUAGAAUUCCAGGUGUAGCGGUGAAAUGCGUAGAGAUCUGGAGGAAUACCGAUGGCGAAGGCAGCCAUCUGGCCUAAUACUGACGCUGAGGUACGAAAGCAUGGGGAGCAAACAGGAUUAGAUACCCCAGUAGUCCCUUUCUCUUAUAC